rnacentral:lncRNA from 12 species
GGACAAAAUGGGGAAAACAACCCCAGCCCAACAAUAAAGGGCAAGACCGCUUGCAGAACCCUGGCAAGCGAAAGUCCUCGCAGAAUGGUUAAAGGCCUGUUGCUGUGCUCAGUAAAUCCUGCCCGCCCUUCCUGAGAACUGGAGGUCGGGGAGGCUGGGAGUUGGGUAACUCUUGUGCUAAGCCUUGGGCAGCUCCACAUUUAUCUCGCUCGGCUCUGCGUGCACACACACAUGCACACACACACACACACACACACCACACACACCCCAGCCGUCUGCUCAGCUUUGCAAUCCAGUGGCGUGAGCUGCGAGAGAAGCAGAAUUUUCCAGUCUCUCUGCGUCUGUGACUUGGUGGGCCACCAGAAGCCUCGUGCUGGACCAGCCCCUGAACUGGAUUGUGAACUCAAGGGAUCAUGUGAACCAAAGUGGCUGUGA